GACCAGACUCCUACGGGAGGCAGCAGUGGGGAAUAUUGCACAAUGGGGGAAACCCUGAUGCAGCAACGCCGCGUGAGUGAAGAAGUCAUUCGUGAUGUAAAGCUCUAUCAGCAGGGAAGAAAAUGACGGUACCUGAGUAAGAAGCCCCGGCUAACUACGUGCCAGCAGCCGCGGUAAUACGUAGGGGGCAAGCGUUAUCCGGAUUUACUGGGUGUAAAGGGAGCGUAGGCGGUUCAGCAAGUCAGAAGUGAAAGCCCGGGGCUCAACUCCGGGACUGCUUUUGAAACUGUUGAACUAGAUUGCAGGAGAGGUAAGUGGAAUUCCUAGUGUAGCGGUGAAAUGCGUAGAUAUUAGGAGGAACACCAGUGGCGAAGGCGGCCUGCUGGACGGUGACUGACGCUGAGGCUCGAAAGCGUGGGGAGCAAACAGGAUUAGAUACCCCAGUA
rnacentral:rRNA from 1 species